UUUGCUAAUUAUGGGCGGACAUUAGACAGUGGAUGUCCAGGAUUUCUAUAACGUCUACCGGGCAAAAAGGUGAUGUGUAUCCAAGAACAAGUGUCACAGGUACUGUGGGGACAUUAGGGGCAAGCAGGCAAGGGGCUGGGACAACACAUUAUAGGCACUUGAGGCUCUGACGGGGACAAGCACCAGCCAUGCCAUUUGAGCCAAAGCCAUCUGGGCAAAUAGUGAAGCUACACCGUGUGUCACCACAGUUGGCCACAUUGAGACCUGCGCUUUGCCUUGGGAAGCGGCUGUAAGCUCAAGACAGCUGGCUCUGAGCCAAGGAGGUUUGCAGCAUGAACAGGAGCAAUCCCACCUGGUCAGGUAACCUAGGAGACAGUGCUGUUGAAAGGCCAAGCCAAGGUCACCAGGCUGGGGGCCAGGCGAGCACAGGGGUCAGGGAGCCCAGGGCUGCCGCCCAGCUCCUGACCUCAGGACAGACCUGUACCCAUCAGGUUAUCCAGCUGCAAGACACUGCACACGCCCCUGCCCUGGUUAUUUUUAUACUGGCGCUGUGGAGCGUGCUGCAGCUCAGGAAUGCACCCAUUCUUUUUCUGUUGAUUUCUCUAGUCCCUGCUAGAUUGGUGAGGCAAAAAAGAUCCCCCAAAUGCCGUGGCAGUGAACACACAGCCCAUUCUUGGGGUACCAAUGCCCUUCUCUUUCCCUUUCCAGGCCACUAAGGAUGUGGAAGGCAGUCGUAUCUGGGGACCACUUGGAGGUGUUCCAAUAUGCAAUAGUGAGAGGCAGCCUUUGGACCCCACAAUGGCAGGCGCUGGAGUGUCCCACAGGUUCCAGCCAGGCAGGGGACAGUUUGGGAAAACACAAGUACCAGCUGGAGACGGGUGCUGCUGAUUUACAAGUCCAGUCUGUCUGUUGAGAAUCUCCCUGCAGGACUUCCAUCAACCUCCUGGCUGAAUGGGGACCACUGGUAUGGCCCAGGGGGACAAUAUUGCCGAGAAGACUGAAAACCAGAGAGGGAAAGUGACGAGCACAGGGUCACACAGCGAAUUCAUAAGGGAUCUAAGAUCAGGACUCAGGAUGGUCUGACCCCAAAGCCCAAGCUCUUUCCACUGAACAGGUGAGCAGUGUCUGUGGCUUGCCAUCUCCAAAGGGCUGUGUGAGGAGCCAAGCACAAGAAGGAUGGACAAAUGUUUUGUAAACUGUAAGGUGAAGUGCUCAUGGGAAGAAAAAAUAACAUAUUAUACAAUGUUAAAAAAUAAACAGAAGCCAGCCUUGAAAAUUCCCUGAGCAGACAAAACCAGUUUAGUCAUAUAAACAAAGCUGAAUUUAGCUUAUUUUGCAAGACUAACUUGACCUGGGUCAUUUCUUGCUUAUGCCUCUGGAAAUCAUAAGCAAACUUUGAAGUUUCCCAAGGUUAAUAUAAGGUAACCACUGAAAAUUCCAGUAGUAUAACCAAUC